GGUCAGCAAUUAUAACCCUUUCUCUACGUAGUUGAACUUUUUAAACCCUGAAUACUAAAUCCCAAAAUACACCCUCAAAGCUCGAGCUGCAACCAAGAGAAGCCAGCCCACAGAAAUCAAGAUACAAAAUAACAGCACAUCCUUCCUCGAAACAAAUUAAACACUUUAAAAGAUUCAUCAUUUCUCUUGUUCAAGCAAGGCUAAGUUCACUAGAAAAUUAAGCCACACCAAGAAUACAAAAGAAAAUAGGUAGGUUCCUCCCCCCCAAAAAAGGAUGCACCUUAGUUAUCAACACCUGCAUUUAUUGACAUACAGACCAAACAGUCCAUAGUAAUAAUCAUGCCAAUGAGUUGAAAUUUGAAAAGCAGACCAAUAAAGUACAGUAACCGAAAAUAAAUACACUGAUCGAAAGCUAAAGACCCUGUCUUUUAACCUAACUAGCUCAC
rnacentral:lncRNA from 1 species